CUUUAAAAAUUCUUUAAAAUAUAUGUGUUGGGGACAUGUAGAUUUAUAUUAACUUUAAAGAUGAAUAAAAUUUGAAUUGAAGGCGCCGUGUAGUAUUUAGUGCCAUGCCUUGAUUUUUUAUAAAUUGAUAAAUGAUCGUGGUAGAUAGAAGUCUUGUCUAAGUUAAAUAGUUAUAAUGGAAGUGUAUUUAUAGGGAAAUUUAUUCUGUAGGUUG
rnacentral:lncRNA from 1 species